UGAGUACGAGCUGCUACGGCAGCGAAGUGGGUGACGUCAAGCUUCCAAGAAAAGCCCUACACCCGUUAAGGCAUGAUGGCCUGUACCCGAAACCGACACAGGUGGGGUGGUAGAGAAUACCGAGGGGCGCGAGGUAACUCUCUCUAAGGAACUCGGCAAAAUGGCCCCGUAACUUCGGGAGAAGGGGUGCCACCGCAAGGUGGUCGCAGUGAAGAGGCCCAGGCGACUGUUUACCAAAAACACAGGUCUCCGCUAAGUCGCAAGACGAUGUAUGGGGGCUGACGCCUGCCCAGUGCCGGAAGGUUAAGGAAGCUGGUCAGCGCAAGCGAAGCUGGCGACUGAAGCCCCGGUGAACGGCGGCCGUAACUAUAACGGUCCUAAGGUAGCGAAAUUCCUUGUCGGGUAAGUUCCGACCCGCACGAAAGGCGUAACGAUCUGGGCGCUGUCUCGGAGAGAGGCUCGGCGAAAUAGAAUUGUCUGUGAAGAUGCGGACUACGUGCACCCGGACAGAAAGACCCUAUGAAGCUUUACUGUAGCUUGGUAUUGUGCCCGGGCUCUGAAUGCGCAGGAUAGGUGGGAGGCUUUGAUCCAUUGCUUGUGGGUGAUGGUGAGCCAACGGUGAGAUACCACUCUUUCAGAGCUAGGGUUCUAACGGUCACCCGUUAUCCGGGGACCGGACAGUAUCAGGUGGGCAGUUUGACUGGGGCGGUCGCCUCCUAAAAGGUAACCGAGGCGCGCAAAGGUUCCCUCAGGCUGGUUGGAAAUCAGCCGAUGAGUGUAAAGGCAGAAGGGAGCUUGACUGUGAGACCUACAAGUCGAACAGGGACGAAAGUCGGCCUUAGUGAUCCGACGGUUCUGAGUGGAAGGGCCGUCGCUCAACGGAUAAAAGUUACUCUAAGGAUAACAGGCUGAUCUCCCCCAAGAGUUCACAUCGACGGGGAGGUUUGGCACCUCGAUGUCGGCUCAUCGCAACCUGGGGCUGAAGUCGGUCCCAAGGGUUGGGCUGUUCGCCCAUUAAAGCGGUACGCGAGCUGGGUUCAGAACGUCGUGAGACAGUUCGGUCCAUAUCCGGUGCAUGCGCAGGAAUAUUGAGAGGAUUUCUCCCUAGUACGAGAGGACCGGGAGGAACGCACCUCUGGUGUACCAGUUAUCGUGCCAACGGUAAACGCUGGGUAGCCAUGUGCGGAGUGGAUAACCGCUGAAAGCAUCUAAGUGGGAAGCCCACCUCAAGAUGAGUAUUCCCAUGGCGUUAGCCAGUAAGGUCACGGGCAGAACACCCGUUGAUAGGCUCUACGUGGAAGCCGGGUAACCGGUGAAGCGGAGGAGUACUAAUAGACCGAGGGCUUGACC
rnacentral:rRNA from 1 species